UCGUGGUAUGUCUAACGUCUCA
rnacentral:siRNA from 1 species